rnacentral:rRNA from 1 species
UACAGAGGGGGCAAGUGUUGUUCGGAAUUACUGGGCGUAAAGGGCGCGUAGGCGGCCUGUUAAGUCGAACGUGAAAUCCCCGGGCUCAACCCGGGAACUGCGUCCGAUACUGGCAGGCUUGAAUUCGGGAGAGGGAUGCGGAAUUCCAGGUGUAGCGGUGAAAUGCGUAGAUAUCUGGAGGAACACCGGUGGCGAAGGCGGCAUCCUGGACCGAGAUUGACGCUGAGGCGCGAAAGCCAGGGGAGCAAACGGG